GACGAACGCUGGCGGCGUGCCUAACACAUGCAAGUUGAGCGACGAACCAGGGCUUGCCCUGGGGCAAAGCAGCGAACGGGUGAGUAACACGUGGGUAACCUACCCCGAUAACCGGGACAACCCGAGGAAACUCGGGCUAAUACCGGAUGUGCUCACUGGACUUCGGUUCAGUGCGUAAAGGAAGCUUCGGCCUCCGUAUCGGGAGGGGCCCGCGGCCCAUUAGUUUGUUGGUGAGGUAACGGCUCACCAAGACCGCGAUGGGUAGCUGGUCUGAGAGGACGAUCCGCGACACUGGGACUGAGACACGGCCCAGACUCCUACGGGAGGCAGCAGUGGGGAAUCUUGCGCAAUGCGCGAAAGCGUGACGCAGCAACGCCGCGUGGGGGAAGAAGGCCUUCGGGUUGUAAACCCCUUUCAGGAGGGACGAAGGUUCGGCGGUGAAUAGCCGUCCGGACUGACGGUACCUCCACAAGAAGCCCCGGCUAACUACGUG
rnacentral:rRNA from 1 species